rnacentral:rRNA from 1 species
GAGGGGGGCGAGCGUUGUUCGGAAUUAUUGGGCGUAAAGGGUGCGUAGGCGGUGGGGUAAGCCCCGCGGGAAAGCUCCAGGCUUAACCUGGAAAGGUCGCGGGGGACUGCUCCGCUCGAGGACGGGAGAGGAGCGCGGAAUUCCCGGUGUAGCGGUGAAAUGCGUAGAGAUCGGGAGGAAGGCCGGUGGCGAAGGCGGCGCUCUGGAACGGCCCUGACACUGAGGCUCGAAAGCGUGGGGAGCAAACAGGAUUAGAUACCCUGGUAGUCCACGCCCUAAACGAUGGACACUACGUGCCGGCGGGUCUCCGUCGGUGCCGCAGCUAACGCAGUAAGUGUCCCGCCUGGGGAGUACGGCCGCAAGGUUG